rnacentral:RNase_MRP_RNA from 1 species
CAUCUCUGGGAGCAAGCUCCCUGUCUGCGCGCUGCGAAGCCGUGCUUCCCCUGCCCCCCGAAGCGAAGGCGUCGCUGCCAUUCACCAUCUCGAGAUCCAAAUGGGCAUCCAUCCAAGCUGUACAAUAGAUUGCAAAAUCGUCGCGCAAAUCGUCCAAUCCACUCACGGCGUCGGCCCAACAUCUAUAUCGACAACAUGCAGCGACGUUGAUCUGUCCAAGUCACAAGCUCCAACGCCCAAUUCAAAGCUUCCACGAAAGCUGCUUCAUGAGGGGGCAUGAGACGCUGCGACGAAAAGCCAGGUCGAAGCAAAGAAAGCUGCGCCAAGCACCACGCCUUCAUGGGAGGGGG